GAGCGAAGAGACAGGAGGGACAGGGAGAGAGAGAGGAGAGAGAGAGAGAGAGGAGCGAGAGAGACCAAGAAACUUGAAAAACUAAGGGGAAAAGGGCGGAGGAGAGGCAGCAGCGCGGUCCCUGCAAGCGUUCGCUUUCCUGCAUUGGCCGAGCAGCCCCCAGCACGCCUGGUCUGCGGGGCAGGGCCGUGCGGCCCCAAGGAAGGAUGCGGUGAGCCAGAGGGUUCCAGACAAAGGAGGGGAUCCCCAAGGCUCCGGGCCAGCCAGUCCCUCUUUUACUGGCACCACGGUCCCUCCUAGGCGGGGACGAAGAGGGAAGGGGUGGAGGCCUCUACCCUCCCCUCUGCGUGUGGCUGUGUCCCUUUACAGAAUGACAGGCUCCUACUUCCGAGGGCGGGGACUAAUGGGCUAUAGGUCAGAGGUCGGCCGGUGGACUGCCUGAUUUGAUCAUAUGUCCUCCUUUGACUUACUCAGCUGGAGGUAAAGGGCCAACAGGACUUCAUGAGGAAGGAGUGAUGUGUGCAGCUGCUCAACACCCUGAAAGGCAAUUUGGGGACCAAGAAGGAGAGUUAAUAAACUGACCUAACACAUU